rnacentral:rRNA from 1 species
AACGGUGGAGCUUGCGGUUUAAUUGGAUUCAACGCCGGAAAUCUUACCGGACCGACAGCAAUAUGAAGGCCAGGCUGAAGACUUUGCCGGAUUAGCUGAGAGGUGGUGCAUGGCCGUCGUCAGUUCGUACUGUGAAGCAUCCUGUUAAGUCAGGCAACGAGCGAGACCCACGCCCACAGUUGCCAGCGUACUCUCUGGAGUGACGGGUACACUGUGGGACCGCCGCUGCUAAAGCGGAGGAAGGAAUGGGCAACGGUAGGUCAGUAUGCCCCGAAUAUCCCGGGCUACACGCGAGCUACAAUGGUUGGUACAAUGGGUAUCUACCCCGAAAGGGGACGGGAAUCUCCUAAAACCAAUCUUAGUUCGGAUUGAGGGCUGCAACUCGCCCUCAUGAAGCUGGAAUCCGUAGUAAUCGCGUUUCAACAGAACGCGGUGAAUACGUCCCUGCUCCUU